rnacentral:lncRNA from 1 species
UCUCUCUCUCUCUCUCUCCCUCUCUCUAUUAUUAUCUCUCUCUCUCCCCCUCUCCCUAUUAUUCUCUCUCUCUCUCUCUCCCCCUAUCUCUCCCUCUCAGUUAACAAUUUUACAAAAUUUAGACUUUGAGUUAAGGUGCAUAACAUGAUAUUAGCAUAGGUGGUCUGGUUGUGAUUAAAAGCUGAGCAUGAAUGUACAUGUACUAUAGUAGAUUGUGUGCAGCACGACAAGUCUCCGCCAAUAUUUGCGGAUGAUGGUCCCUGUUACCCACCUUGAAUUUAUAGAGCAUUUAUCCACCAAAAGUCUUUGUAUCAGGUUACAAAUGCAUGCACAGUCGUACACGCGAUUCCAACAGCAAAUAUAUAUAACAUUUACCCUCUCUUUAACUCUCUCCAUUUAGUGAAAGAGACUCUGAUUUCAUCUCUGUUCCUCCCCUGUCCCAAACAUAUUUAUCGCUACUAUAUUUCAAAACCCGUAACAUUAAAAGUUUGGUAACGAACCAUCACUAUUAAGUAACCAGUGCAUCUAAAAUCUUAAAGGAUCACGUAAAUGUCUGACAGAUCUAUACUCUUCGACACUCUCUUCAACACUCUCAUCAAAUUAGACCGAGUUCUGAUACCAUGUUAAGUAAGCAAUGGCCUGCAUCUUAUAAGAUUACGGUUAAGUAACCAGUGCAUCUAAAAUCUUCAGGUAUUAGAGAAAUGUCUGACAGAUCUAUACUCUUCGACACUCUCUUCAACACUCC